UACGAGGGGGCAAGUGUUGUUCGGAAUCACUGGGCGUAAAGGGAGCGUAGGCGGGCUCUUAAGUUGGAUGUUUAAAACCGGGGCCCAACCCCGGCGUGGCAUCCAAAACUGGGAGUCUUGAAUGGAACAGAGGCUAGUGGAAUUGGAGGUGUAGCGGUGAAAUGCGUAGAUAUCGAGAGGAACACCUGCGGCGAAGGCGGGUUGCUGGGCUGAUACUGACGCUGAUGCGCGAAAGCCAGGGGAGCGAACGGG
rnacentral:rRNA from 1 species